rnacentral:rRNA from 1 species
CACGUAGGGCGCAAGCGUUGUCCGGAAUUAUUGGGCGUAAAGAGCUCGUAGGCGGUCUGUUGCGUCCGCUGUGAAAACCCGGGGCUUAACCCCUGGCUUGCAGUGGAUACGGACAGACUAGAGGUAGGUAGGGGAGAAUGGAAUUCCCGGUGUAGCGGUGAAAUGCGCAGAUAUCAGGAGGAACACCGGUGGCGAAGGCGGAUCUCUGGGCCUGUACUGACGCUGGAGAAGCGAAAGCAUGGGGAGCGAACAGG